rnacentral:rRNA from 1 species
GGGUUGUGAGGUUAAGCGACUAAGCGUACACGGUGGAUGCCCUGGCAGUCAGAGGCGAUGAAGGACGUGCUAAUCUGCGAUAAGCGUCGGUAAGGUGAUAUGAACCGUUAUAACCGGCGAUUUCCGAAUGGGGAAACCCAGUGUGAUUCGUCACACUAUCAUUAACUGAAUCCAUAGGUUAAUGAGGCGAACCGGGGGAACUGAAACAUCUAAGUACCCCGAGGAAAAGAAAUCAACCGAGAUUCCCCCAGUAGCGGCGAGCGAACGGGGAGGAGCCCAGAGCCUGAAUCAGUGUGUGUGUUAGUGGAAGCGUCUGGAAAGGCGCGCGAUACAGGGUGACAGCCCCGUACACAAAAAUACACAUAUUGUGAGCUCGAUGAGUAGGGCGGGACACGUGGUAUCCUGUCUGAAUAUGGGGGGACCAUCCUCCAAGGCUAAAUACUCCUGACUGACCGAUAGUGAACCAGUACCGUGAGGGAAAGGCGAAAAGAACCCCGGCGAGGGGAGUGAAAAAGAACCUGAAACCGUGUACGUACAAGCAGUGGGAGCACGCUUAGGCGUGUGACUGCGUACCUUUUGUAUAAUGGGUCAGCGACUUAUAUUCUGUAGCAAGGUUAACCGAAUAGGGGAGCCGAAGGGAAACCGAGUCUUAACUGGGCGUUAAGUUGCAGGGUAUAGACCCGAAACCCGGUGAUCUAGCCAUGGGCAGGUUGAAGGUUGGGUAACACUAACUGGAGGACCGAACCGACUAAUGUUGAAAAAUUAGCGGAUGACUUGUGGCUGGGGGUGAAAGGCCAAUCAAACCGGGAGAUAGCUGGUUCUCCCCGAAAGCUAUUUAGGUAGCGCCUCGUGAAUUCAUCUCCGGGGGUAGAGCACUGUUUCGGCAAGGGGGUCAUCCCGACUUACCAACCCGAUGCAAACUGCGAAUACCGGAGAAUGUUAUCACGGGAGACACACGGCGGGUGCUAACGUCCGUCGUGAAGAGGGAAACAACCCAGACCGCCAGCUAAGGUCCCAAAGUCAUGGUUAAGUGGGAAACGAUGUGGGAAGGCCCAGACAGCCAGGAUGUUGGCUUAGAAGCAGCCAUCAUUUAAAGAAAGCGUAAUAGCUCACUGGUCGAGUCGGCCUGCGCGGAAGAUGUAACGGGGCUAAACCAUGCACCGAAGCUGCGGCAGCGACACUGUGUGUUGUUGGGUAGGGGAGCGUUCUGUAAGCCUGUGAAGGUGUGCUGUGAGGCAUGCUGGAGGUAUCAGAAGUGCGAAUGCUGACAUAAGUAACGAUAAAGCGGGUGAAAAGCCCGCUCGCCGGAAGACCAAGGGUUCCUGUCCAACGUUAAUCGGGGCAGGGUGAGUCGACCCCUAAGGCGAGGCCGAAAGGCGUAGUCGAUGGGAAACAGGUUAAUAUUCCUGUACUUGGUGUUACUGCGAAGGGGGGACGGAGAAGGCUAUGUUGGCCGGGCGACGGUUGUCCCGGUUUAAGCGUGUAGGCUGGUUUUCCAGGCAAAUCCGGAAAAUCAAGGCUGAGGCGUGAUGACGAGGCACUACGGUGCUGAAGCAACAAAUGCCCUGCUUCCAGGAAAAGCCUCUAAGCAUCAGGUAACAUCAAAUCGUACCCCAAACCGACACAGGUGGUCAGGUAGAGAAUACCAAGGCGCUUGAGAGAACUCGGGUGAAGGAACUAGGCAAAAUGGUGCCGUAACUUCGGGAGAAGGCACGCUGAUACGUAGGUGAAGUCCCUCGCGGAUGGAGCUGAAAUCAGUCGAAGAUACCAGCUGGCUGCAACUGUUUAUUAAAAACACAGCACUGUGCAAACACGAAAGUGGACGUAUACGGUGUGACGCCUGCCCGGUGCCGGAAGGUUAAUUGAUGGGGUCAGCGCAAGCGAAGCUCUUGAUCGAAGCCCCGGUAAACGGCGGCCGUAACUAUAACGGUCCUAAGGUAGCGAAAUUCCUUGUCGGGUAAGUUCCGACCUGCACGAAUGGCGUAAUGAUGGCCAGGCUGUCUCCACCCGAGACUCAGUGAAAUUGAACUCGCUGUGAAGAUGCAGUGUACCCGCGGCAAGACGGAAAGACCCCGUGAACCUUUACUAUAGCUUGACACUGAACAUUGAGCCUUGAUGUGUAGGAUAGGUGGGAGGCUUGGAAGUGUGGACGCCAGUCUGCAUGGAGCCGACCUUGAAAUACCACCCUUUAAUGUUUGAUGUUCUAACGUUGACCCGUAAUCCGGGUUGCGGACAGUGUCUGGUGGGUAGUUUGACUGGGGCGGUCUCCUCCUAAAGAGUAACGGAGGAGCACGAAGGUUGGCUAAUCCUGGUCGGACAUCAGGAGGUUAGUGCAAUGGCAUAAGCCAGCUUGACUGCGAGCGUGACGGCGCGAGCAGGUGCGAAAGCAGGUCAUAGUGAUCCGGUGGUUCUGAAUGGAAGGGCCAUCGCUCAACGGAUAAAAGGUACUCCGGGGAUAACAGGCUGAUACCGCCCAAGAGUUCAUAUCGACGGCGGUGUUUGGCACCUCGAUGUCGGCUCAUCACAUCCUGGGGCUGAAGUAGGUCCCAAGGGUAUGGCUGUUCGCCAUUUAAAGUGGUACGCGAGCUGGGUUUAGAACGUCGUGAGACAGUUCGGUCCCUAUCUGCCGUGGGCGCUGGAGAACUGAGGGGGGCUGCUCCUAGUACGAGAGGACCGGAGUGGACGCAUCACUGGUGUUCGGGUUGUCAUGCCAAUGGCACUGCCCGGUAGCUAAAUGCGGAAGAGAUAAGUGCUGAAAGCAUCUAAGCACGAAACUUGCCCCGAGAUGAGUUCUCCCUGACUCCUUGAGAGUCCUGAAGGAACGUUGAAGACGACGACGUUGAUAGGCCGGGUGUGUAAGCGCAGCGAUGCGUUGAGCUAACCGGUACUAAUGAACCGUGAGGCUUAACCUUACAACGCCGAAG